rnacentral:rRNA from 1 species
CACGUAGGGCGCGAGCGUUGUCCGGAAUUAUUGGGCGUAAAGAGCUCGUAGGCGGCCUGUUGCGUCCGCUGUGAAAGCCCGGGGCUUAACCCCGGGUCGCAGUGGAUACGGGCAGGCUAGAGGUAGGUAGGGGAGAAUGGAAUUCCGGUGUAGCGGUGAAAUGCGCAGAUAUCGGGAGGAACACCGGUGGCGAAGGCGGUUCUCUGGGCCUUACCUGACGCUGAGGAGCGAAAGCGUGGGGAGCGAACAGG